UACGGAGGGGGCGAGCGUUAAUCGGAAUAACUGGGCGUAAAGGGCACGCAGGCGGGCUUUUAAGUGAGAUGUGAAAUCCCAGGGCUUAACCUGGGAAUAGCAUUUCAGACUGGGAGUCUUGAGUGCUUUAGGGAGGGGUAGAAUUCCACGUGUAGCGGUGAAAUGCGUAGAGAUGUGGAGGAAUACCGACGGCGAAGGCAGCUCCUUGGCAAUGUACUGACGCUGAUGUGCGAAAGCGUGGGGAGCAAACAGG
rnacentral:rRNA from 1 species